rnacentral:sRNA from 1 species
GCUGGGCGUGGUGGUGCACGCCUGUAAUCCCAGCCACUUGGGAGGCUGAGACAGAAGGAUUGAGAGUUCAGAGCAGCCUCAGCAACGGUGAGGCACCAAGCAACUCAUUGAGACCCGGUCUCCA